GUUGUAAUAAGCCAUAUUCACAAACCCUGCCCCCUCGCCCAUCUCAACUCAUUCAUUUUCUUUUCGGAUUCAUUGAGUCCAAUAUGUUUUAUGAUGUUUUUCAGUCCUUGAUUGAAGUUUCUCUACUAAUUGCUUAACUCUUUCAUAGGAAGUGCAUAUUUCAUAGGAAAUGACCUUAUGUUCCCAAUCAAUAUCUUCUGUGUGAUUCGUGUUCAUGUAGUGUUGAAUAGUUAACAUAUCACUCUCAUCCACAUACAUUGCAUUAGCAUCAUUAAUUGGUUACAUAAUCAAAUUAGAAACUUUAGAGUCUUGUUUUCAUUUGUGCAAACAUCAUAAAUUGGAGAAUUCGAAUCUGUGACAGUAUUACCAAUGGCAGAGAUCAUUUUCUUCUUGAUCUUCCUAACAAUCCGAAUCUGCAACGUUCUUUAAGUUGUCUCUUUAGUUCAUCCACCUCCAAAUCAUGGACUUGACUCUCAUGAGCGUAGAUUCAAUGACCACAAAAAGGCAUUACUUUGCAUCUGAUAUGAAGCACAUGAAAGUAGGAGUAAUUUAUGUAACUGAGUUGUAGGCAGAAUGGUCACCAUCGAUAGUUAGUUCAUAUCCUUAAGUAUACAACUCAGAAAGACGUGGAACAAAAUGAAGUGUAAAAAUUAAAACUUCUGAACUUCUAUUUUGGGUAGAAUCAAUCAAAAUGGAGAACGAAGCAAUUGCUUUGAAAGCCUAUAGAAAUCAUGACCUGAUCAUUUUCCGAAAUUAAUGAAUCAUUGGGAUAUAAGCCACCACUCUUUGGAUAUGGCACAAAUGAACUCACCACUCUCUGGAGUCUACCAAAGUGAAAUCAACUAAAGAAAUAAACAACAAAAUAAGAAAGUAGAAGGGUUAUUCAAUUUCAAUUGCUUUAUAAAAGUCUAAAAGACUUGGCUGGGAAUUAAGUGUAUUCUUGGAAUUCCAACAACUCUAAGCUAUUUGGCUUCAGUUGAUCAUAUGUUAUUGUCGAAGUACCCAAAUUAAAUGACACAUGAAGAAAUGCAUGCAAGACUUACAUGUGUUUCCAUGGACAAUUGAUUAAUCUGAUUUGGGCUUAAAGUGAAAGCCAAAACAUGUUGGAAAAAUUUGAGCUUGUUCUCGUACACUGGCAGCAAUAAGGCCAUUUUCACGUUCUUUUACUUGGCUACUUGUUAGGCUGUUUCAUGGAAUGCACGUGACAUCAAUAUGCACCAACUUCUCAUAGUUAUAAGACUAUAAAGGAU
rnacentral:lncRNA from 1 species